UACAGGGGGUGCAAACGUUGCUCGGAAUCAUUGGGCGUAAAGCGCACGUAGGCGGAUUGUUAAGUCAGGGGUGAAAUCCUGGAGCUCAACUCCAGAACUGCCUUUGAUACUGGCGAUCUCGAGUCCGGGAGAGGUGAGUGGAACUGCGAGUGUAGAGGUGAAAUUCGUAGAUAUUCGCAAGAACACCAGUGGCGAAGGCGGCUCACUGGCCCGGUACUGACGCUGAGGUGCGAAAGCGUGGGGAGCAAACAGG
rnacentral:rRNA from 1 species